AACGAACGCUGGCGGCGCGCCUAAUACAUGCAAGUCGAGCGAGAAGACGUAGCAAUACGUUUGCAAAGCGGCGAACGGGUGAGGAAUACAUGGGUAACCUACCCUCGAGUGGGGAAUAACUAGCCGAAAGGUUAGCUAAUACCGCGUACGCUCCUUGGACUUCGGUUCAGGGAGGAAAGCGAUACCGUGGGUAUCGCGCUCUUGGAUGGGCUCAUGUCCUAUCAGCUUGUUGGGAGGUAACGGCUCACCAAGGCUUCGACGGGUAGCUGGUCUGAGAGGACGAUCAGCCACACUGGCACUGCGACACGGGCCAGACUCCUACGGGAGGCAGCAGUGAGGAAUAUUGCGCAAUGGGCGAAAGCCUGACGCAGCGACGCCGCGUGGGGGAUGAAGGUCUUCGGAUUGUAAACCCCUUUCGGGAGGGAGAUGGGACGAGCAAUCGUUCGGACGGUACCUCCAGAAGCAGCCACGGCUAACUUCGUGCC
rnacentral:rRNA from 1 species